AGAGUUUGAUCAUGGCUCAGGACGAACGCUGGCGGCGUGCUUAACACAUGCAAGUCGAGCGGAAAGGCCCUUCGGGGUACUCGAGCGGCGAACGGGUGAGUAACACGUGAGCAAUCUGCCCUUAGCUUCGGGAUAGCUCCGGGAAACCGGAAUUAAUACCGGAUGUGACUGUGGCCGGCAUCGGUCAUGGUGGAAAGUUU
rnacentral:rRNA from 1 species